rnacentral:rRNA from 1 species
UACGAAGGGGGCUAGCGUUGUUCGGAAUUACUGGGCGUAAAGCGUGCGCAGGCGGCCUUCCAAGUCAGGGGUGAAAGCCCGAGAGCUCAACUCUGGAAUUGCCUUUGAGACUGUGAGGCUUGAGUACGGGAGAGGUGAGUGGAAUUCCCAGUGUAGAGGUGAAAUUCGUAGAUAUUGGGAAGAACACCGGUGGCGAAGGCGGGCUCACUGGCCCGAAACUGACGCUCAUGCACGACAGCGUGGGGAUCAAACAGG